CUCUUUCAUUGUUGUUUAACUGUUUGUUUUUCUUCCUGAGAGUACUACAGGUUUUAUCUUUUCAGGCUCAACAGCUGUGACACCAGGCGAACUUUCAAAGAUGCCGCGGAGAGGAAAGAGAUCACAGGCUCAAAAAAUUCGUUGGAGGAAGUUCGACCUGGAGGAUGAACAGACCAGACCCUCCAGGAUUAACCAGGUUGAACAGGCAAGCACCAGUGCAGCUGUAGCUCAGUUUUCAGGUAGAACGUAUGUAGAAGGUGGUGAUAUUGCAUCCAGGGUUGUGUCUGUGCAGGCAUCUCAUUGUCAGGGUGAUAUUAGGUAUGACAGUUUCUCUAGAAAUCACCAGUGCACGUGUGUAGCGUUGACAUUUUUGGCAAACCAGAGUGAAGGGAUUGCGUUCAAGAUGCCUGAUCUUGAUAGAGUUUUAGAGGAGGGAGAUGCGUUAUAUAUCAGCAUUAAAUUGCAGCUUAUUGCUGAAGGACGGUUUAAAUUCAACCACCUGACCAUGGAGGAAGUACCGUUGAGGGUUUCAUCAUUUAACCGGACAUACGAUGUGCUGAAGUCAGGAGUGAUGCAUGG